AACGAACGCUGGCGGCAUGCCUAACACAUGCAAGUCGAACGAGACCUUCGGGUCUAGUGGCGCACGGGUGCGUAACGCGUGGGAACCUGCCCUUAGGUUCGGAAUAACUCCCCGAAAGGGGUGCUAAUACCGGAUAAUGUCUUCGGACCAAAGAUUUAUCGCCUUUGGAUGGGCCCGCGUUGUAUUAGCUAGUUGGUAGGGUAAAAGCCUACCAAGGCGAAGAUCCAUAGCUGGUCUGAGAGGAUGAUCAGCCACACUGGGAAUGAGACACGGCCCAGACUCGUACGGGAGGCAGCAGUGGGGAAUAUUGGACAAUGGGCGAAAGCCUGAUCCAGCAUUGCCGCGUGAGUGAAGAAGGCCUUAGGGUUGUAAAGCUCUUUUACCCGGGAUGAUAAGGCCAGUACCGGAAGAAUAAGCUCCGGCUAACUCCGU
rnacentral:rRNA from 1 species